rnacentral:lncRNA from 1 species
AGAAUAGAAGAGACAAAGAUAAAACAAACAUUGACAGUAAAUAUCUAAUAAAUGCAACAACUAUAGCACCAUUAACAAUAGAAAAAGAUUCAGUAAUAAUAAAUAUAUAAAUAAAAACCCUUCCGCUGCAGGCCGCCGCCUUCGGUCGUCUCCGGGACUCCAGCCGCUUGCACGCACUCACCGAUUUUAAAAACAAACAGGCGCCGUCGCCUCCCUGCGGCGUUCGCGGGGCUUCCGCCAGCCUGCGCCUCCCUAAGCUGGGAAGUUUGCUGGCAGGGCCCUGGCGGGACGUGCAGGCUGUCACCCCCGCUCGCUGACGGCGCAGAAACCUCGGUGCACCCCGCGCCCGUGCUGUCCGACUCGCGAGCGCUCUCCCUCCCUUCGAGUCACCCCCAGUCCUGCGAUGCAGUGUCAGGAUUGCACGGCUCUGACUCAUCGGUUGAGCUCACAGCUUGGAAAAAAAAAAGAGGGCGAGAGGCAACAACGAAGGAGGACGACUCUGGCGUGCUACAAAGGAUUGCACAACUCAAGGCUGGGUGCACAGAGUGCCCAGCAGCCAGCAGGCGCGCGCAGCACCGCGAGGAGCAGGAACCAGCUCUACCACUUCAUCAGCACCACUGUCUCGGGGCGGCCUCUCAGCCAGCAGGCCCAGCGCCGCCCACUUCCUGCGACCAAAUAAGGCCGAGGAAGGCGUCUUUAAACCUCCGGGGGCGGCCGGGGCUGGGGAUUUCCAGCGGACCUCACCUCUACUCCGGAGUAGGGUGCCACCCUCCCCCAGCCCAGGCGGGCGCCCCCUUGGCUUUGCUGGAACCAACAAGCCAUGUGGCUCGUUCCUUGCACACCAAGGAAAGCAUGGAGUACAGAGCGCCAGUUCCCAGAAGCUGUCUGCUAAGAAAGAAAGACUCCAGGAGGAAAAGCUCUCUGGCAGGACCCCAUCCUCUGGGUCCCAGUGAGGGUACAGUAUGGCAUUUCAAAGGCUUCCUGACAAACAACUCAGCUCUCUGAAUUCUACUCAGAGUGGCCCGUCACCAGUGUUCAAAAUCUUCUAAGUAUGUGAGUUAUAUCUCAAAGCUGGUAUGAAGAAGAAAAAUAAAAGCGUCUAAAGAAGCCAGGGUCUCGCCACCCAGCCACCUGCCCUGAGUCCGCAUUGUUGUCCUUUUUCCACUGCCCCAUCGAGCCCAGCACACAUGGUGUGUUUAUGUGAACAAUUAGCCUUGACCAGAAUAUGAGGAACUGGGGUACAACUAUUGUUGAGGACAUCACAAAAUGACAGCCUUCUUAUGUCCCUUGUAUGCUAUGUUCCUACUGUCAGGUCCCUUUGCAAAAUAAAGGUUCUUAUUGCUUAUAAUUACAACAGAAGAAAGAGAAAGUUGUGAAAAGAACGGGGAGCCAGUACUGAGGAAGGGACCUGCCUAACUAAAACAAACCUGCUCUGUGACCUUAGGACAGUUCUCCAUAACGUCUGAGCUUCAUUUUUUUCUCUUUUCCUUCUUUCUCUGUUGCUGUUGUCCCCUAAUAGAGCACCGUGUUUGUUACAAGAACAGUGAAAAGGUGUCCUCUUUAUAGGGGUCUGAAAGGAUCCAAUGGACAAAAAACUGCUCUACGCUGUAGAAUGCUAUGUACAUGUAUUAGGUGUUACAACUGUUACUUUUACUCUUUUACCCUGUAUUUCCUUCUCUCAAAACUAGGUUCUCCCUUUCAAGAACCUACUUCCAGGCAAGAUUUUUUUUUUUUUCCCCCUGAAAAGACAACAUGAUGCCUCAGGGUGACCCUCUGCUAGGCUCUGCAACAUCAACCCAGUGUCCCAUUGGAGGUGUCCCCUCCCUUUGUGUCCUUUCCACCACUUUUCCACAACUCUGUCCACCUGGGCUGAACAGAGACACCCCUUUAACAACCGUGCUUUCUCCCCGCUUCUUACCAGGUCCUUUCUGAGACAGCAGAGAGUUCAAAAACCACCUCAGUCACUAAGGUAAGCCACAGUAACUUGAUGCACUACUGAGAAGUCAUGCAUUCUCUUUUACCCUUGAAAACCCAUGGGACUCUCCUCAGUUUCACACUUACUUCACCUGUUCUGGGGCAGAGCCAAGCCGGCCACACCAGCCCACAGCUGUCUGUCCCGCUCAGCCCUCCCACCUGCCCUCCCCAGCCUCCCUCCCCUACGGCCUGGACCAGGUUCUGAGCGCCUUUGUCAGGCCUGAGAGGGAGCUUCUGUAGAUGGCUCCAGUUGCUGCUGUCACUCUGGGACAUACGUCUGGCUGGGUGCAGAGAGAAGGACAAAACAGGUGUGGCUGCCAAGGAGGGCAGGCCAGCAGGGCUACAGGACAGAAACACCCUUUCUUCACAGAGCAAGAACUGCCAGCUUCCCAGGGGCCCCACUUCAACAAAGCCCAUGCCCCCACAGGACCGGCCGGGACAGACUCCCUCACUAGCUCUCCUCACGAGCAAGCCAAGAGGAGCAGGAUCCCCACAUUCAAUGUGUGCAGUGGGGUACGCUUGAAACAUGACUUUUAAAUGAAAAGCAAUACUGAUAAGUCAAGAACUAGAAUCCAAAAUUCACAUCUAUGGGAAUAUACAAGUUAAGAGCACAGAUUAAGACCUGAGUCCAAAUCUUGGCUCACGCUGACUUGAUGAGCAAGUUACUUACCUACUUAGUUUUCUCAUCUGCAAAAUGAGAAUGAUAAGACCCUAAAAGUAUAUGGCACACAGUAAGUCUUUGAUACAUGUGUGCUGUCAUUUUUUCAUCUCCUAACUGAUCUCCUUGCUCCUAGUCUUGCACACUUCACUGUCCACACAGCCAUCAAAAUGCUUACUCCUCAACAGCUCCCAUCAUCAACAGCAUAAAGCUAGGUCUGUUAACCAGACAGUUAGCCACUUGUGUUCCUGGCACUAUCUGAUUCUGCUCCACUUCCCAGCCCCAGCUCUGGCCCCACAGAGCCAACCAAUAUGAGGUUCCCAAGAGCUAUGCUUUCUCACUCUCCAGUCUUCACUCUUGCUCUUCCUCCCUCUAAUCCUGAUCUGCAGAUUAGCCCAUACCCAGGUCUCCCAGCACACUAGCGCUUAACAGCCUAAAGCUUAACAGCCCAUCUUCCAAGAAGCUUCUCUUGACUCCUCAGAGCAGAGGACGCUGCUGGAGUGUACACUGUUGGAGCCCUCCCAGGUCCCCUUUAUCAGGCUUCAUCCCUUGCCCCCUCCACCCCGCCUUGAGUGGUAGCUAAGAGCUCACAGCUGGCCCUAAUCAAAGGGCACCUUUGGUGGACAGAUUCUGUGGGAAGGGAAUUCGUGCUUGCAGGGCUGCCUGUGGGCUCCAGCUGCAACAUAUCCUUCCUUGCUUAGCUGUGUCCUUGCUCUAUCUUUUUUUUCUCACUACUGGGGAUCAAACUCAGGACCUUGCACUUUUGAGGCAGGUGGAGAUGCCACUGAGCUAAAUCACUAAAUCCCCAGCCCUUCCCUGGUCUAUCUUGCUUCACUUCCUCCUGACAGCCCUUCUAAAACCCCAGUCACCAAAACCCCUUCUAGCUCCCAGCUCCAAAGAAUCAGAACAGCUAUUCUCUUCCCUAAACCUCCACGGCUUCCUGUGUAUCUUUACUCCACUGGCUACAUGUUGUUCUGCUCUGCUUGCACCAUUUCUGUGAACAGAGCACCAUCACCCAGAAUCAGAGCUCCUUAAGUGCGCAGCCUCCUAGAUUUUACUCCCUGUGGUAUCUCUGGUGUCUACACAGUCCCUGCACACUAUGGCACUUAGCAAACAUUUGCAAUAAAUUCAUGGGGGCGGGGAUUUUAGCUCAGUGGUUUCGCCACCUGCUGCGCAGGUGCAAGGACCCAAGUUCAAUCCCCAGUACCUAAAUAAAAAAAUAAAUAAAUAAAUUCGUGAAUGAAACU